UACGUAGGGUGCGAGCGUUGUCCGGAAUUACUGGGCGUAAAGAGCUCGUAGGUGGUUUGUCGCGUUGUUCGUGAAAACUCACAACUCAAUUGUGGGCGUGCGGGCGAUACGGGCGGCUAGAGUUGGUAGGGGAGACGUGGAAUUCCUGGUGUGAGCGGUGGAAAUACGCAGAUAUCAGGAGGAACACCGGUGGCGAAGGCGGGUCUCUGGGCCGAUACUGACGCUGAGGAGCGAAAGCGUGGGGAGCGAACAGG
rnacentral:rRNA from 1 species